CUCUGUGGUCCUUCCGCCAAAACAUCUGGGCUCCUCCACCUCCCCGAGCCCAAAUGGCCAUGCAGGUCGAACACCAGCUCUGAAGUGGGCAGGGCCCCCAGGGAGGACAGCCACGGGAGCUCAGGCAGCGUCCCCGCCGGCACCUGCCUCUUUGUGCAGCGGCAGUCAGGGCCCUCGGCAAUGAGCUGAACUCGCAGUGCGGUUACGAGGGCAAAUAUGCUCCUUGAGGGCCGGCGAAACUCAGCAGCCCGAGGAAGGCUACUGAUGUGCAUUUCAUAGCCGGCUGCGAAUUUAGGAAAACAGACUUUGCUUCUCGUCACUCAGCCUACGUGACCAGGUUCAGACACAGUCUGCAGCCGCCCGCCUCGCACCCCCACUCUGCAGUGCGGUAUGUGGGGAGCUCAGGGCACAGCAGGCCAGGCCUCCCCGUGGACGUCCAGGAACCAGAACCAAACUGCCCAGGGCCCCAGAGGGGAAGAUGUCUCAGCAGACGGACAGCCGAGGCUCACAUGGCAAGCUCUGGCAGCCUGUCGGUCCCAGGAGAGAGGGGGAGGUGAGUGAACUGAGGGAGGGCCAGGUGACAGGUCACAAACAAUGAAACUUCCUCUGGGCACAGCAGAGGUUGGUUUUGUUUUGGGGGUGAUGUGGCGCGGCACUGUUGCUUGGGGAAUAUUUGGUUUUUGUCUUAUUUUGUGGGGGUCGUGGAGCAGUGCUGCUGUUCUAAGGAUGUUUGGUGUCUGUCGUAUUUUGUGGGGGUUGUGGAGCAGUGCUGUUUUUCUGGGAGUUAUUUGGCUUCUGUCUUAUUUUGUGGGGUUGUAGAGCGGCGCUAUUAUUCUGGAAAUGUUUGGUUUCUGUCUUAUUUUGUGGGGGUCGUGGAGCAGUGCUGCUGUUCUAAGGAUGUUUGGUGUCUGUCGUAUUUUGUGGGGGUUGUGGAGCAGCGCUGUUUUUCUGGGAGUAUUUGGCUUCUGUCUUAUUUUGUGGGGUUGUAGAGCGGCGCUAUUAUUCUGGAAAUGUUUGGUUUCUGUCUUAUUUUGUGGGGGUCGUGGAGCAGUGCUGCUGUUCUAAGGAUGUUUGGUGUCUGUCGUAUUUUGUGGGGGUUGUGGAGCAGCGCUGUUUUUCUGGGAGUAUUUGGCUUCUGUCUUAUUUUGUGGGGUUGUAGAGCGGCGCUAUUAUUCUGGAAAUGUUUGGUUUCUGUCUUAUUUUGCUUCGCCCAGCCUCGGCCUGCUGUGUUUAUGGUUAAAAUAACUCUGUGGGCAAACCCGAGUCUCCAGCUCUCAUCCGCUGUCCCCUGGGCUCCCUCACUUCCUUUCAUCCACAGCGCCCACUGCAAGUGAUAUUCUUAUAAUACACUGAGCAACUAUUUUAGUAACACAGAAACUUUCUGGGGAUAUGACCCACUUUAAACAGUUAUCUAGGGAGAGGGAAGAAAGUGAUUUCGCUCCAGGCCUGGGCAUCUCCUUUCACCCACAUUUCAUUUUGCUUAAUCCCACAAAAGCCGCUUAACCGCACCUGCCAUGUUUUCCCAGACAGCCUUGCAAACAUGCGAGGGUGGUUACUGGAGCCUUCUCGGACCCGCGUGAUUCCACCACCGUGAGAUGCAGGAACUGUCUAGAUUUGCAGACAGAGCUUGUCCUUGACCCCCAAAGCUCCAGCCCUGCCCUGUGGGCGAGGAGCUUUGGUGAACUCAGCUCACCUCAGUGCUGCAAGGUUAUGGCACCCCACACUCAUGCGCCUCCCAGGUGCCCAGCUUCUUCACUGGAGGAGGGGACGGUGACCAGGCUAGGGCCCUUGGUACGGGCUGAGGAGCUCUUUCCUCACUUUCCCUGGAGCCCGUGUUCUGCAAGAUCAGGUCGACUGAAGCACAUCAGCUUCUGUCCCAGGCCCCUCUGCGGAUGAGCAAGAGCUGCUGACCAAUGGGAGUGACAGCUCAGCACACCAGCCAGCGGCCCAGCGGAAACACGUUCUGCAGGCUCAUCUUGGGAAAACUUCUACUCACAUACAAAUAUGCAUUAGAGUCAGGGUCUCACCCUGUCACCCAGGCUGCAGUGCAGUGGCACCAUCAUGGCGCACUGCAGCCUCGAACCCCUGGCCUCAGCCUCCUGAGCAGCUGGGACUCUGACCCCAUGUGCACCACCACACCUGGCUACUCUUUCCUUUUUUGUUGUUGUUUUUUUAUUUUUUGUAGAGAUGGGGUCUCACUAUGUUACCCAGGCUGGUCUCAAACUUUUGGCCUCAAGAAAUCCUCCUGCUGUGGCCUCCUUAGUAGCUGGGAUCACAGGCAUGAGCCACCGUGCCUGGCUAAUUGUUAUUUUUAUUUUUUGUAGAGAUGGGGGUCUCACUAUGUUGCCUAGGUUGGUCUUGAACUCCUGGGCUCGAGCAAUCCUCCCACCUCAGCCUCCCAAAAUGUUGGGAUUACAAGCAUGAGCCACUGUGCCUGGCCUGCAAAGUUAUAUUUUAGUUAAGCUUUUUCAACCUCAGAAAAUAACUGGAGGCGCCCAACUUCCACUGAGCACCUAGGCUGGGAAAUAGGCAGCAGACCAGCUCUGAGCUUUAAGAUGUCUGGGAUAGGGCAGGAGCUGAGAGGCAUUUGGGACUAAAUUUUUUUUUUUUUUAGGUGGAGUCUUGCUCUGUCGCCCAGGCUGGAGUGCAGCAGCGCGAUCUCAGCUCACUGCAACCUCCGCCUCCUGGGUUCAAGCGAUUCUCCUGCCUCAGCCUCCCAAGUAGCUGGGAUUACAAGCGCACGCCACCACACCCGGCUAAUUUUUGUAUUUUUAGUAGAGAUGAGGUUUCACCAUGUUAGCCAGGAUAGUCUUGAUCUCCUAACCUUGUGAUCCACCCACCUUGGCCUCCCAAAGUGCUGAGAUUACAGGCGUGAGCCACCGCGCCCGGCCUGGGACUGAUUCAUUUGGGGUCCAGCCCACUCCCUUAAGGCAGGAGGCUGCAAAGUUGCUGGGGCCUGCAUUCCAGGCCACACCGCUGGCCAGUGGUGGAAGCUGAGCCACCUCUCUCACUUUCCUGGGCCUCCACUUCCUCAUGGGUAAAAGUGGAAGGAAAAAUACCUCCCUCUGCAAAAGGGUUGAGCGAGAUGAUGCAGGUGAAGGGUGUGGUCCUCAAUGAGCCCUUAACACAUGCCAGCCAUCAUAUUCCAGCCCUGACUAUGUUGGUCAUCAGCAGAGCUGUGGCCUUCCAGCUUCAUCCUGACAUGCGGAGGCCGCCUUUCAGAAACUCUCCCAAGCACCUUCCCCCAGCAUCUGGGCCCUGGGCAUGGCCACUGCUCAAAGUCCCAGACGAGGCCAUCCAUCAAAGCUGUACUUGGCAACAGCAAGUAAGAGAAGGUUGUCAGGGCACUGCAUGGCCCCAGGCCCCCCUCCUCUGUAAGUGGACCAUCAGAGCCAAACGUCAGGGCUGAGCAGGCCUGGAGACCAGCGACCCCAGCCUCCUGCAACCCUGCCAGGCCAGGAACUAACAGCAGUUCCAGAAUUGCAUAGGAUUUCCUCAGUGCCUUCUAGGCACUGGGCCUGCUCUACAUCCCAGGAUACUAUGGGGAACAUGUGGGACUCUGUCCCUACUCUCACAUGGAGCCUGGCAGUUAGACAUGACACAACCCACAAACCCACCAGCCAACCAACCAACAUCCAGAUUCCAGAACGACAGGGGAUGGGGACAGGGUGGGUGGAGGGCAGGAAAGGCCCUCCAAUGAAGUGAGGCUUGAAUAGAGAGAGACAGCAAGUCCUGACUCUCUCUGGGAGAAGACUGUUCUAGGCAAAGAGCAUGCCAAGGGCUCAACUGGAAGUCAUCAUGCCCAGACUCAAGCAAACAGGACACGUGUAUCUAGUUCACUCAGAAUGGGAGCUAGAAGGGGCUUUGACAUCAGCUAGUUCAUUAAGGUCCUCACAUUGUCACCAUCGUCAUUACUAUUGCCAUCAUAAUCACCAUCAUCACUAUCAUCACCACCACCACAUCCACCAUCGUCACCACCACCAGCACCAGCACCACCACUACCAUCACUACCACCACUGUCACCAUCACCAUUACCAUCCACCACCACCACCAUCACCGCUACCACCAUUACCACCAUCAGAAGCACCAUCACCACCAUCACCACCACCACCACUGCCAACAUCACCAUCAACAUCACCACCACUACCAUCACCACCACCACCACCACCACUGCCAUCAUCACCAUCAACAUCACCACCACUACCAUCACCACCACCAUCACCACCACUUCCAUUACAGCCAUCAGAAUCACCAUCAUCAUCACCAUCACUACCACCAUCACCAACACCACCACCAUCACAAUCACCACCACAUCACCAUCAUCACCAACAUCACCACUACCACCACUACCAUCACCACCACCACCAUCACCAUCGCAGCCACCAUCAUCACCAUCACCACCACCGCCCCCACUACUCAUAAGUAAGGGUGAUGAUAAAAGCACCAGCCACGUUAGCAGAUCCCUGGUUAUAGUUCCAGCAUAUGUGCUCAAUUCUUUACAGUCAGGACCCCACUGUAUUCUGGAAACAACUCCAAGAGACAGGGACUAUCGUGUCUCCAUCUUACAGACAAGGUGAGGGAGGUAUGGAAAGGCAGGAGUACAUACAUGUCUCUAAGGGGGAGGGCACUUGGCCUGGUCUUGGCCAUCCCUUGCCAGCUCCAGGAUGCUCCUGUUUGUGGCUGCAGGAGCCUCCACACGGCCAUAACUAGGUGGCACCGUGUCCAUUUCCCCCUCCUCCUCUCAUGCCAUGGUGAGACGCACACUGAGAGCAGGACACUGGGGGCAGCCCUUCCUGCUGCCCGCUGCUGGGCCAUUAGGCCCUGCUGACACCUAGCAGGGCGGAAGGCCUGGCAGUGGAGAGAAGGGAGCAGAUGUUCCCCCAACACUGACCUCGCACCUUGGAAAGAAGCAAGAUGGGAGGAGCUGAGAGGGAGGACGGUGCUGAGCAUGGCUGACCCCGAGGGCUGGGCUGCCGAGGUCCUGCAGAAGCUAUAAUAAGGCUGUGCACCAACAAGCUCACAGAGCAAACCACCCCCAAACCAGCCUGGACCCCGUGUGCACAUGCCCCCAGGCCUCCAAGCCGGAUCCUGCGGGCCAACCUGCCCCUCCCCCAGCCGCCAAGGCUUCCCUCCCAGCCUCUGACCCUGCGCCCUGUGGGGCCCAGCCUUCCUAAGGACCGCAGAGGGUCCUGGGUCAGCUGUGGGCACAGGCCCGGAUGCCUGCAGCAUUGCAGGGGCCACGGGAUACAGCGCUCCCUCACCGGUGAGGCAUUGCUGGGCCUCCCCAGGUGGGACAUGUACUCAUGGUGCCUGUGGACCUGCAGGAGGUCCCCCAGAGGCUUCCCGCCCCCAGGCCCACCGGAGCCCCCAUACUUAUUGCUGAUGUCCUCGAUCUUCUGCUCGGGCCGCUGCUUUUGCUGGAACUGUCGGUUCUGGAGGUAGUUCUCCUUCAGGUAGAUCUCCCAGGAUAGCAGGGCCGCCUCCUCGUUCUUCUCCAGCUUGUUCUCUGUCAGGGUGGGCGGACAGACCAGGGGACCUGGAAUCCUCAGGAGGUGGGCCCUGAAGCCCUGACCCACCGGGGGGGCCCCGUGGGAGGGGGCCAGUCCUGAGUGGCAGGAAGAGCCCAUCGCACACCUGCCCCCAAGGGGGCCUCUGGGCUCAGCCCCCACCACUUGCUCAAGGCCAGCAGAAGGCCAGCAGCCUGAGUGACCUGCACGCCUGCUGAGCGUCCAGGGUUCUGGGCAGAGCUGCCAUGCCAUCUCCACCCCCUCUGCACCCGGGUGGCCAGGACAUUCAGGAGAGGCACUGGGGCUGGCAUACUGAGCUGCUUGUGCCUCUUGGCCGGAGUCUUCAGGACCACCCUCUUGAUGAAGAGCUGCAGGUGGCUGAGGAGGAUGAAGGGGGGCGGCGCGGCGGGGCGGCCGUGGUACUCCUCGAUCAGGUCAUGGCGCUGGAACUUCCAAAUCUGGUCCGUGUGCUCCUGCACCUGCUGGAAGGUGUAGCUGUCAGGGAGGAGAAAGCAACACCUCGAGGUCAGGGUGUUUACCCAGAACAGACCCCUCUCACCGCCUGCGUGCCCACUGUGAUGCCACAGAGAGCAGAGCCACGCCCACAUGCCCACUGUGAUGCCACAGAGAGCAGAGCCACACCCACAUGCCCACUGUGAUGUCACAGAGAGCAGAGCCACGCCCACGUGCCCACUGUGAUGCCACAGAGAGCAGAGCCACGCCCACGUGCCCACUGUGAUGCCACAGAGAGCAGAGCCACGCCCACGUGCCCACUGUGAUGCCAGAGAGCAGAGCCACGCCCACGUGCCCACUGUGAUGCCACAGAGAGCAGAGCCACGCCCACGUGCCCACUGUGAUGCCAGAGAGCAGAGCCAUGCCCACGUGCCCACUAUGAUGCCACAGAGAGCAGAGCCACGCCCACGUGCCCACUGUGAUGCCAGAGAGCAGAGCCACGCCCACGUGCACACUGUGAUGCCAGAGAGCAGAGCCACGCCCACGUGCCCACUGUGAUGCCACAGAGAGCAGAGCCACGCCCACGUGCCCACUGUGAUGCCAGAGAGCAGAGCCACGCCCACGUGCCCACUGUGAUGCCAGAGAGCAGAGCCACGCCCUUGUGCCCACUGUGAUGCCAGAGAGCAGAGCCACGCCCACAUGCACACUGUGAUGCCACAGAGAGCAGAGCCACGCCCUUGUGCCCACUGUGAUGCCAGAGAGCAGAGCCACGCCCACGUGCCCACUGUGAUGCCACAGAUAGCAGAGCCACGCCCACGUGCCCACUGUGAUGCCAGAGAGCAGAGCCAUGCCCACAUGCCCACUGUGAUGCCACAGAGAGCAGAGCCAUGCCCACGUGCCCACUGUGAUGCCACAGAGAGCAGAGCCAUGCCCACGUGCCCACUGUGAUGCCAGAGAGCAGAGCCAUGCCCACGUGCACACUGUGAUGCCACAGAGAGCAGAGCCACGCCCACGUGCCCACUGUGAUGCCAGAGAGCAGAGCCACGCCCACGUGCACACUGUGAUGCCACAGAGAGCAGAGCCACACCCACGUGCCCACUGUGAUGCCACAGAGAGCAGAGCCAUGCCCACGUGCCCACUGUGAUGCCAGAGAGCAGAGCCAUGCCCACGUGCCCACUGUGAUGCCACAGAGAGCAGAGCCAUGCCCACGUGCCCACUGUGAUGCCACAGAGAGCAGAGCCACGCCACACGGGAGGCCAGCUCCAGGCACAGAACUCAGCCCACAGACCUCACAAUUCCAGGCUUCCUGGGAACCAAAGCAAGAAAAAAGGAGAAGCACACAGACUUUCGAUAUUAUAAGCCUCACUGGCUAAUAACACGAAGUGGGUGUUUAUCAGGAGACAGACACUGUCUGGCACUGAACUCUAGGACCUGAUCUGUGGAUUCUGACGAGCACAAGAGCCAGACCCUCCAGGGGUGCAUGUGGAAGGGGCAGGGCUGCAGGGGCCUCCUUGGUGUGUCUCAGGGUGACAGGCACAGAGCCCUCCGCAGUGGGAGCCGGAAGUGUGGGUGCCAUACUUGCUGCAGGGACAGUGUCCUGCCACCAGCCCCUUGGCCUCGAGAUGACAGUCCUGGCCCAUGCUCGGGUUCUCUCAAUGUUCAGAACCCACGUUCUGAAAGGUGGCAACCUCAGCAACUUAGCCAAUGAAACAAGAAGAGAAACGGUUGGUUCCUAACAAAACCAGGAACACAAGGAUUUUCAGAGUCCUGGGUAGCACAGGGUCUGUCUGCAGAUGCUGGGAAGGGCUCUGAGGGCCUGGGAGGCUUUCUGAAUUAUGGGGGCAACGUGGGGAGACUGGGCUUUCUGUGGACCAUGACAGCUCCGCAGCCGUGCUGGGCUCCUCAGCUCCACUGUCAGGGCUAGGAAUUGGCCACAGAACCCCCAGAGCCAACCCUGGGGCCCACUAGGACCCCAAACACCUGUGUUUUCAUUCUGCGUGGCCUCCUGGUUCCCUGGAGUUCUUUUUUAUGCUGCCUCUGGUGUGAGGUCCUCAGCAUUUAAUUUGUUCUAAGUUUAAAAGCUGCAAGAGCAAAACAGAACCCCCAAAGCCUGGGGCCCACAGCUGCUGCGGCUGAUCAGAGAUACGACCCCAGAGGACCACGUCCACCAGGGGCCGGAUGGACAGCCACCUAUUUUGUACUCCUUGUUUCAAAAGCAACAAUAGCAAAUAACAUUCCAAAAGUUCUAUGAUAAGACUUCAAGACACUAGGAUUUAAAGAAAAUCCUAGACAUUUUCAAAGAGAAGAAACAGCUACUGCAUGGGUCUCCUGAUGCUGCUGUAGUGAACCGCCACGGCCUUGGCAGCUUAAAGCAAUCAGACUCUUCUCUCAGUCCUGGAGGUCAGGAGUCUCACUGGGCUAAAACCAAGGUUCGGCAGGGCUGUGCUCCUCCCGUAGGUCGGGAGCCUCCAUGCCUUGCCUUUCCUGCCUUCCAGAGGCUGCCUGCAUUCCUGGGCUGAGGCUCUCCCCUCCCGCCGACGCUCACUGCCACCGUCACAUUCCUUCUCCGCCUCCCUCUUCCACGGCCCCUCAUGAUGAUGUCGGGCCCAUGCAGAUAACCCCAGAUAAUUUCCCACCUCAGGAUCCUCCACUUAACCCCACCCUCCCAGUCCCUUUUGCCACAUAGGGCCCCAUAGCCACAGGGUUCGAGUGUGGACCUCCCUGGGGCUGUUAUUCAAACUGCCACAGAUGCCACAAACACCAGGCCCAGAGGAGGUGGACACGUGUGUGCAAAUCCACAAAACCAGCAAAGCACGUGAAGACGUGCAGAUGAGGAAGACCCCAAUGGCACGGGAGGGCAGACACAGAGCCGUCCACAGAUGGAUCGGAGCUCUGGGGAAGGCACCGCAGAGCCAGCGCCGUCUGAGGCACACGGUGGGGGCAGCAGGAACACGUCUAGGGCUGGGGAACCGGCCCCAAAGAGCUAAAGAACCCAGCAACUAACCGAAAUGCUCACACUUACAGAUGGCAGACGGGAAAAGAAGCCACCUGCUGGGAUGCUGAGACUCGCUUGCAGGAGCUUUUGGAACUGGCUGAGGUCACAGCUGGAACCACUGUGGCCAGCUGGAGUCUGCACAGCCCGAGUUUCCACCCCAGGGUCCCAGUAACUCCGCCCAAAUGUGCACACGAGACCUAUGAGGAGACAUAACUUUCCAGAACCCCCUUUUCUUCCACCAGCCACUUACUCAUCCAAGAACCCACCCCCGAACCUUCCCUAAUAGAAACACUGCAUUAAAGCCAGCGCGGGGAGACAGACGUGAACUGCGCCCCUGUCUCCUUGUGGGUUGGCCUAGAAUAAAAGCUUUUCUUUUCUCAAAAACCUGGUGUCAUAGUAUUGGCCUCCUGCACAUCGGGCAGCGAGCCCUUUUGCUCAGUAACAGGGAGACACAGGCAGAGCCCUUGGGGUGACAAGGGGACAGCCCUGAGCAGCAGCGGCCCCAGCACGCUCCCCGGGUAGAGCAGUGAGCCCAUGAAUAAUGCUGCGCCUGCGCAGAAGGAACGAGGCUGACACCAACAUCCCUGCCCUGCGGGAGGAGGCUGCCUCCGCAGCAGCACCGUGAGCAGGGCCCUUGUGGAUCCACAGCACCGCGGGUCCCCAGCAGCCACAAGGACAGACCCACGCCAGCUCAAGAGACAGACUCACGCCAGCUCAAGAGACGCAGCAGUGACCACAGAGAGUGGCUGUGCACACUCCACCAGGAUAUGAGUGACGCGCCUCUGUGCACCAGCCCAUCAUCCACACUGUCCACGAGACCCUGGAGACAGCAUGGCCACUGCGGCCCAGGAACGCCGCCCACCCACCCACCUGCACUGCUCCGGGUUGAAGUUCACACCUGGCGUUGGGAAUGGGGGUGGGUGAGCCAAGAAAACAACACAGAGUCAAGAGGAGCUUGGCAGGAGGGGGCCCUCGAGGCCUCCAGUCACUGCCAGGUCCCCCGCAGGCCUGAUGCUGCUCAUUUGGGUGACCUCAGCUGUCACCUCUGGGCCAGAAGUCCAGAAAGAGGCAUCUGUCUCCAGCCAGAUGCAGGUAGGAGGCCCCGGGGGCAGAGCUGCACCCAGGCUGGCCCGUGCCUCCGCCCAGGGUGUGCCACCCACCAGGGCACUGCCAGGGUCCCAGCCAGGGCCAGCACCAGGUCCCAAGCCUGGGGAGUUCAAUUUGGUGGAAAUAAUUUAAAAGGAAAGGCCAGGAGCAGUGGCUCAUGCCUGUAAUCCCAGCACUUUGGGAGGCCAAGGCGGGCGGAUCACCUGAGGUCAGGAGUUUGAGACCAGCCUGGUCAACAUGGUGAAACCUUGUCUCUACUAAAAAUACAAAAAUUAGCCAGGCAUGGUGGCGGGCGCCUAUAAUCCCAGCUACUCGGGAGGCUGAGGCAGGAAAAUCACUUGAAUCCGGGAGGGAGGUGGAGGUUGCAGUGAGCCGAGGUUGCCUCAUUGCACUCCAGCCUGGGCAACAAGAGCAAAUGUCUGUCUCAAAAAUUAAAAAAAAAAAAAAAAAAAAAGAAUUGAAAAGGAAAAAAAUAACAACUAUCCCAAAGAGAAGGGAGACGUGGAGAUGUGGAAAAGGGAAGAUGUUGCAGAGGCAAUGUAUCGACAAGUGAAACGGGUGAUUGUGAAGAAAAAUAGCGUCCUGCGUGCAUAGAAAGUAAGGGCUAUUGAAUAUGGAAACAGCUUCUACCUUAAACAAAUCUCUAAGGAAACAUAGUAAGUUGUUAACAGUAGUUAACUCCGGGAGGUGAAAUUAUGAAUAACAUUCUUUCCUUAUACUUAUCUUGAAUUUUAAAAUUGUUCAACAAUGAGCAAUGCAUUAUUGGGUAAUCAAACCUAUUUUGAAUGUGUUACUAAUUUUCUAAGAUAGAAACGCACUCUGAUGGCUAUAAAUUCCUAUAUUAAUAAAGAAGAGCUGAAAUUAUUAACGUAACUUCCCACUGUAGUAAACUAGAAAAAGAAGAGCAAACCACCCUUUCACAAUAAAAACACUCAAGAAGUUAGGAAUCAAAGAGAACCUCUUUGAUUGAAAGGACAUUUACAAAAACCCUGCAGCUAACAUCAUACCCAGUGGGAAAGACUGGAUGCUUUCCCUGAGACAAGCCAAAAGCAAGCAGAAGGAAGGAAAGAAUGAAGAUUAGAAUAUAAAUGAGAUCGAGAAAUCAAAAACAAUGAAUGUCAACAAACCAAACUCAGUUCUUGAAAAAGAGCAACAAAAAUAAUUACCACCUUGUAGCUAAGACUGAUCAAGGAAAAAAAGAGAGAAGGCUCAAAUUGCUAAAAUCAGAAAUGAAAGAGAGGAUAUUACUACUAAUCUUACAAAAAGAAAAAGAACUCAAAGGAAAUCCUAGAGAAAAUUGUAUGCUAAAAAAAUUAGAUGAUCUAGAUGAAUGGACAAAUUCCUAGAAAGACACAAACUACCAAAGGUGACUGGAGAAGAAAUAGAAAAUAUAAAUAGACCUAUAACACAUAAAGAGAUUGAAUUAGUAAGUUAAAAACAUCACACAAAGAAAAGUCCACACUCAGAGGAGUUCACUGGUGAAUUCUACCAAAUGUUCACGGAAGAAUUAAAACCACUCUUUUACAAACUCUUCCAAAAUAUAAGAGGAGGAACUACUUCCUAAGCCAUUUUAUGAGGCCAGUAUUAUCCUGGUGCCAAAACUAGGCAAACAUAUUACAAGAAAAGAAAACCACAGACCAAUAACCUUCAUGAAUAUAGGUGCAAAAAUCAUCAAAAAACAGCUAGCAAAGUGAAUCCAGCACCAUGUAAAAGAGAUUAUUCACCAAGACCAAGUGGGACGUGUCCCAGGAACAUAAAGUUGGUUUAACAUUCGAAGGUCAAUUGAUGGAAUGCACCAUAUUAAUAGUAAAAGGAUCAAAGACCAUCUGAACAUUUGAAUAAGUGCAGGAGAAGCAGCUGACAAAGUCUACCACUCCUUCACAAUAAAAACACUCAAGAAACUAGGAAUAGAAGGGAACUUCUUCAACCUGAUAAAGGACAUUUAUAAAAGCCCCACAGCUAACAUCACACUUAAUGGUGAAAGGCUUGUUCCCUAAGAUCAGUGGACUCGUCUUAAGAUCAGGAGCAAAGCAAGGAUGUCCCCCAUUGUCCCUUCUGUUCAACAUUGUACUGGAGGUUCUAGCCAGGGCACUUAGGCAAGAAGAAGAAAUAAAAGGCAACCAGUUUGGAAAGGAACAAGUAAAACUCUCUUUUUGCAGAUGACAUGGUCUCGUAUAUGACAAAUCCACUAAAAAACUAUUAAAAGUAAUAAAGAAGUUUAGCAAGGUUUCAGAGUUCAAGAUCAAUCUACAAAAGACAAUGUAUGUCUACAUACCAGUCAUUAACAAUUUGAAAUGAAAUCAAUAGGACAAUUCUAUUUAUAAUAGCUUGGACAAUAAUAAAAUAUUUAGGAAUAAAUUUAACAGAAGAAGCAUUAAGACUUAUUACUGGAAACUAUAAAACAUUAUUGAGAGAAAUUAAAGAAUUAAAUAAGCAAAAAGACAUCCCAUGUUCACAAUCAAAAUCACAGAUGCCCUUUUUGGAGAAAUUGAUGAGCUGAUCCAAAAAUUCUUGUGAAGCCAAGGGACCCAGAGGCCAAAGCAAUCCUGGAAAAGAACAAAUUAGGACUCACACUUCCGAAUUUCAAAACUUACUACAAGGCUACGCUCACCAAGACAGCACGGUCAAAACUUACUACAAGGCUACGCCAACCAAGACAGUGCGGUCAAAACUUACUACAAGGCUACGCUCACCAAGACAGUGUGGUCAAAACUUACUAUAAGGCUACGCUCACCAAGACAGUGAGGUCAAAACUUACUACAAGGCUACGCCAACCAAGACAGUGCAGUCAAAACUUACUACAAGACUACGCUCACCAAGACAGUGCGGUCAAAACUUACUACAAGGCUACGCUCACCAAGACAGUGCGGUCAAAACUUACUACAAGGCUACGCUCACCAAGACAGUGUGGUCAAAACUUACUACAAGGCUACGCUCAACAAGACAGUGUGGUCAAAACUUACUACAAGGCUACGCUCACCAAGACAGUGUGGUCAAAACUUACUAUAAGGCUACGCUCACCAAGACAGUGAGGUCAAAACUUACUACAAGGCUACGCCAACCAAGACAGUGCGGUCAAAACUUACUACAAGGCUACGCCAACCAAGACAGCACAAUCAAAACUUACUACAAGGCUACGCCAAGACAGUGCGGUCAAAACUUACUACAAGUCUACGCCAAGACAGUGCGGUCAAAACUUACUACAAGGCUACGCUCACCAAGACAGUGCGGUCAAAACUUACUACAAGGCUAUGCCAACCAAGAGAGUGCAGUCAAAACUUACUACAAGGCUACACCAAGACAGUGUGGUCAAAACUUACUACAAGGCUACACCAACCAAGACAGUGUGGUCAAAACUUACUACAAGGCUACGCCAAGACAGUGCAGUCAAAACUUACUACAAGGCUACGCCAAGACAGUGCAGUCAAAACUCACUACAAGGCUACGCCAACCAAGACAGUGCGGUCAAAACUUACUACAAGGCUAUGCCAACCAAGACAGCGCGAUCAAAACUUACUACAAGGCUACGCCAACCAAGACAGUGCGGUCAAAACUUACUACAAGGCUAUGCUCACCAAGACAGUGUGGUUCUGGCACAAGGACAGACAUCAGUGGAGUCAAACUGAGACUCUAGAAAUAAGCCCUUAUGUUAAUGGUCCACUGAUUUUCAACAAGGAUGCCAAGAUGCUUCACUGGGGAAACAACAGUCUUGUCAACAAAUAGUGCUGGGACAACAGGAGAGCCACAACGAAGACUGACCCUUACCGCACACCAGGGCAAACAAAAAGCGAAAGCUAUAAAACACUUAGUAGAACACAGGCAUAAAUCACGGCAAUGGUUUUCGCUAGGACACCAAAAGCACAAUGAUCAAAGAGAUUGAUAAGUUGAACAUCAUCAAAAUUUCAAAAGCUCGUGCAUCAAAUGACACCAUAAAGAAAAUAACAAGUCAGUGCACAGAUUGACAAAAAAAAUUCAAAUCAUACCUUUGGUAAGAGACUGGCAUCCUUACGUAAAGAACUCUUACGACUCAAUAAUAUAAAAGACAACUCAAUAAUAUAAAAGACAACUCAAUUGAAAAAUGGGCAAAGAUGGCUGGGGGCAGUGGCUUAUGCCUGUAAUGCCAGCACUUUGGGAGGCCAAGGCGGGUGGAUCACGAGGUCAGGAGAUCGAGACCAGCCUGGCCAACAUGGUGAAACUCUGUAUCUACUAAAAAUACAAAAAUUAGCCAGGCGUGGUGGCGUGCGCCUGUAGUCCCAGCUACUCGGGAGGCUGAGGCAGGAGAAUCACUUGAGCCCGGGAGGCAGAGGUUGCAGUGAGCUGAGAUCGCACCACUGCAUUCCAGCCUGGGUGACAGAGCGAGACCCUGUCGGAAAAAAAAAAAAAAAAAAAAAGGGCAAAGGAGAGGGAGAGACAUUUCUUGAAAGAAGACUUACAGACGACGAGGUUAGCAGAGGAGGAGAUGCUCAGCAUGGCGGGUCCUUAGAGAAAUGCCCGUCAAAGCGACAAGGAGAGCCACUUCUCACCCACCGGGAUGCGAGCUUUGUUUUUUUAAUGGACAAUAACAAAUGUUGACAAGAAGGUAGAGAAAUUGGAAUCCUGGGACUGGGCAGGCAGGAAUGUGGAAUGCGGCCGGUUCUUUGGAAAACAGCCCAGCACGUCCACAAAAACUUAAACAUGGAGUUCCCAUAUGAGCCAGCCGUGCAUUCCUAGGUGUCUAAGAGAAAUAAAAACAUACCCACACAAAACCCUGUAAAUAACUGUUCAUGCUACGUUAUUCACAGCAUGUGAAAAGUGGAAACGGCCCUGCGCGGUAGCUCACACCUGUCAUCCCAGCACUUUGGGAGGCCGAGGCGGGUGGAUCACCUGAGGUCAGGAGUUCAAGACCAGCCUGUCCAACAUGGUGAAACCCCAUCUCUACAAAAAAAUACAAAAAUUAGCCAAGCGUGGUAGCAGGUGCCUGUAAUCCCAGCUACUCGGGAGGCUGAGGCAGGAGAAUUGCUUGAACCCAGGAGGUGGAGGUCGCAGUGAGCCAAGAUUGUGCCACUGCACUUUGGCCUGACUCCCUCUCGGGAAAAAGAAAACAGAGCGAGACUCCCUCUAGGGGAAAAAAAAAAUUAAAUAUUAAUUAAUUUAAAAUUUUUUAAUUAAAAAAUUAAAUAUUAAUUUUUUUUAAAAAAAAGGAAAAGUGGAAACAACCCAUAUGUCCACCAACUGAUGAAUGGAUGAACAAAAUGUGGUGUGUCCACACAGCGGGGUCCUCUUCAGCCAUAAACGGGAAGUAAAUACUGAUACACGGUGACAAACCUUGAAAACGGGACAUCAAGUGAAAGAAGUCAGACACCAAAGACUGCCUAUUACAUCAUCCAGUUUCUAUGAAACGCCCAGAAAAGGCAGCUCACAAGUAGCUUCGUGGGUGGCUGUGGCUGAGGGGAGGGGAACGGGAGUGACUGUGAGUAUGCAGGGUCUUUUCAGGGUGAUGCAGAUGUUAUAAAGUUAGAUUCUGUAAAGAUACUGAAAACCACUGACAGGUGCACUUUAUCCAGGUGAAAUUUCUCUCAAUGAAGCUGUUAAAAAAAAAAAAAAAAAAAAAAAAAACCUUCUAUAUGAAAAGUGUUCUCUCUGGCAGGCAUGGUGGCUCACGCCUGUAAUCUCAGCACUUUGGGAGGCCAAGGGGGUGGAUCACUUGAGCUCAAGAGUUCGAUACUAGCCUGGGCCACAUGCUGAAACCCCCAUCUCUACAAAAAAUACAAAAAUUAGCCGGGUGUGUUGGCGUGCACAUGCAGUCCCAGCUACUCAGCAGACGGGUGGGAGGAGGACUUGAGCGCAGGAGGUGGACGUGCCACUGCACUCCAGCCUGGGUGACAGAGCAAAACCCUGUCAAAAAAUGGAAGGAAGGAAGGGAGGAAGGGAGGAAUGAAUUAUUUCCAUCAAGAGAAGAAGGAAGUUAUUUCUGAUUGAGGUGAGAGGGAAAGGGGAUACAGGGUGACAUUCCAUUUCAGGGGGCUGUCAGCUGAUGCCCCAGGUGCCCUCGGCCCACUCUGACCUCUGCGUGGCACCACUCACCCCCACCAGGCCCCCCUCCUCCCUCCCCUGGUGGGGCCCCUUCUACUUCCUGCCACAGGAGCUGGGGAAUGAAUGCCCCCAGGGAGGACACCGGCCAGGUGGGAACCGCAGGACCCCCUGAUGGAGCCGGCCUCACUCCCACUCAUGCGGCCCCUUUCCAGCCUCUCUCCUGCUUCCCGGCAGCACCACCCGAGCUCCCAUGGCGCCCGGCUCCUACCGUCGAUGUAGCCCGGGAUCUGCCCGAAGAUGGUGAGGUAGGAGUGGUAGACGGCCCCUCGGAACAGCCAGUCCACCCGGCGCUCGUUGUGGAUGAGGAUGGCCUGCUUGGCCACCCCGAAGGACACCACCCACACAGCCAGCAGGAAGAGGAAGAAGAAGACGUCCUUCAUCUGCAGGACAGAGAGUGUGUGGGCUACACUCUCCUGGCCCCCGAUGCUCACUGGGCCCAGAGGCAGGCCCAGCAGCGGUGGAGACAGCACUGCCACUCACAGCACAGACACGGCAUGCAGGAGGCUCCCAGGAGCAGUCCUGGGGCUGCCCCCACACCCUCGUGGACUGCCGACAUCUUUGUGCUAGCACCACAAAGUGCAAGAGGGGUCAGACAUAACCGUGACCCAAGGAGGAAAGCUCCUAGAGCUGAAUCAGAGGCCAGGAAUGAGUGCGGUCAGACAUAACCGUGACCAAGGAGGAAAGCUCCUAGAGCUGAAUCAGAGGCCAGGAAUGAGUGGGGAUCAGAGGGGAGAAUGAGGGAAGGCUUCCUGGAAGAGGUGACGUACAGGCAAAGAUACGAGAAGGGCAUUCUUGGGAGCCCAAGGGGCAAAGCAGGGACGGGGAACCUACAGGUGUGUUUAAGCCCCAGUCCGAGCCACUGGCAAGGGGCCUGCCCUCCCCGAGGCCCACCCUGGGCUGCAGGCCGCGAUGGAGCCGGUGCCCCCGCCCCCUUACCAUCCGCUUCACAAUGAUGAUCUUGGGCCCCAGCGUCUUACUGAUGGUAAAAAUGUGCAUGAGCCGGAGGCAGAACAGGAUGAAGUCCAGAGAGAGGAUGACGCGCCCGGGGUACAGCGUCGCCGGGAUGAGCCUGGCCGCCGGGCAGAAGCACACACAUCUCAGCCACCUGCUCACAGCAGCCCCCAGAGCUGUCCCCCGUCGCCCCUCCACCUGUCCUAGCCCAGGUGGGCCCUGGAGGCAAAGGGCUCUGGUGGGCCCUGCAUCCCAGGUGUUCAAAGCUGGCAUGAGAUUGAGGAAUAGAGCCUCCCACUUUUCUUCAGACGCCCAGCCCCACAGGGCAGCCUGGCAUGGGGGCACCUGGAGAGCCAGCAGUUAGCCAGGGCCCUAUUGCCUCCGAGAAAGGGGGCCGCGGCCUCGCAGAGACACGAGAGCAUCACAGGCAGUGCAGUGAGCCCACAGUAGGGAGGCAGAGGGAGAAAGCGGCAGCCGCGUGUCCGUGGAGCUGGGACAAUUCCAGAGGUUGCCAUCUAUGGCCCCUUGCACAUGGACAAUCUCAGCUCUGCCAGGAGCUCUCAUGCCCCUUCUGUGCUCCCUCAACAAUCCCAAGGGUAGGUGGGGCGCUGUUGCCUGGACACCCAUUGGACAGAUGACAAUCCAGGGUUCACAGACGAGCUGAGCCUCACCCGGUGUGGCUGGUUCUGGGCCCGGCCUGUGCUCAUCCCCUGCAGGGCUGGCUGCCUCAGACGGGCCCGCCAUCGGGGUGAGGCCACUCACCUGCAGGUCAGCCCUGCCACGAAGAGCAAGAUUGCGCCGACGUCCAGCUUAUUCCAGAAGUCACUGAAGUACAAGGCUGCCUUCUUCAUCAGCCCGCACUCGUCAGGGUCAUAGAAGAGCUACUGGGAAGAGGGGCGGUAGGAAGGCAGACAGGUUGUCACUCUUACUAUCCUCACUGUCACUGUCACAUCACUAUCCACUAUCAUCAUCACAGUCACUGUCACUAUCAUCACUAUCACUGUCACUAUCAUCACUACCCUUGCUGUCACCAUCACUGUCAUAUCACUAUCCACUAUCAUCACAGUCACUGUCACUAUCAUCACUAUCACUGUCACUAUCAUCACUAUCCUUGCUGUCACCAUCACUGUCAUAUCACUAUCCACUAUCAUCACAGUCACUGUCACUAUCAUCACUAUCACUGUCACUAUCAUCACUACCCUUGCUGUCACCAUCACUGUCAUAUCACUAUCCACUAUCAUCACAGUCACUGUCACUAUCAUCACUAUCACUGUCACUAUCAUCACUAUCCUUGCUGUCACCAUCGCUGUCAUAUCACUAUCCACUAUCAUCAUCACAAUCACAGUCACUGUCACUAUCAUCACUAUCACCGUCACUAUCAUCACUGUCACUAUCAUCACUAUCACUAUCAUCACUAUCAUCACGGUCAGCAAAUCCGAACAUUGGUUCUGAUCUGAAGAGAGCUGGGUCAGUGAGGGAGAUGGGAACAGGACGUGGAGGAACAAUGCAGAAUAGCGCUGGCAGCAGCUACCUCGGCCCCCUGCUCACUCAGCACCUGUGUGUGCAUAUAUGUGUAUGUACAUAUAUUCUGCAUGUAUGUGUGUAUACGUGUGAAUAUGUAUGUGUGCACAUAUGUGUGUGUAUGUAUGUGUGCAUUCUGUAUGUGUCUGCAUGUAUUUGUAUGUGUAUGCAUGUGUGUAUAUGUGUAUGUGCAUGUAUGUGUGCAUGUAUAUGUGUAUGCACAUACAUUUGCAUGUAUUGUGUAUGUAUGCAUGUUUGUGUGUGUGCAUGUGUAUGUGUAUCUGUGUGUCUCUGUGUAUAUGUGUAUUUGCAUGUUUUUGUGUGUGCAUGUGUAUAUAUGUGUAUGUGUCUGUAUGUGUGUGUUCAUAUGUGUAUGUUCAUUCAUGUGUGCAUAUGUAUAUAUGUGUGUGUAUGUGUGUACAUGUUUGUUCAUGUGCAUAUGUAUGUAUAUGUGUAUAUGUGCUUGGGUGAUGUGUAUAUUUGUGUAUGUGCAUGUGUGUAUGUGUAUGUGUGUAUGCAUGUGUAUGUGCAUGUGUGUAUGUAUGUGUGCAUAUGUGUAUGUGUAUAUUGUGUACAUGUGUAUGUGUGUAUGCAUGUGUGUGCUGUAUAUGUAUGUGCAUGUGUAUGUAUGUGUAUAUUUGUGUGUAUGCACACGUGUAAUGUGUGUAUGCAUGUGUGUGCAUGUGUAUACAUGUGUUUAUCUGUGUAUAUUUGUAUGUGUGCAUGCAUGUAUAUGUGUAUGCAUGUGUGUGCAUCUCUAUAUGCAUGUAUGUGUGUCCAUGCAUAUGUGUGUAUGCAUGUGUAUAUGUGUGCAUGUAUGUGUAUGCAUGUGUGUAUGCAUGUGUGUGCAUGUGUGCAUGUGUGUAUACAUAUGCAUGAAUGUGUGUGCCUAUGUGUGUACUGUGUGCAUGUGUGUGCAUGUAUGUGUGUACAUAUGCAUGUAUGUAUGUGUGUGUGCCUAUGUGUGUGUGCAUUUGUGUGCAUGUGUACAUGUGUGUGCAUGUACCUGUAUGUGUAUGCAUGUGUGUGCAUGUGUGUGUGUGUUGGAGCAGCGCCCUCAAUGUCAGGCGCCAGCUGCCUUCCCACAAGGAUCUUUGUUCUGUCAGGGGCCACACUGUUUCUUUAGCAGGCCAAGAGUGCAGGACCUGGCAGGGGCUGUGGGAGCCCCCAUUUGGCCUACUUGGCAGGAGUCCCCACACCCUCCCUAGCCCCAGGCCCCAGGACCCAGCAGCUGGACAGGUGGGGCAGGUGACCAGCAGGACCAACCAGGGCCCUCCCUGGAUCACAGACAGAUGCAGGGAGAAGGAAGUGCCCCCUCUGCUCUCAGGCUGCUGCCCAUGGGGCUGGGGCUGGGGGUGCAUGGAGGCCUCUGGCCCCUUGUAGAGAGGGUCUGGUGGCAGAAGCCCUGUGGCAAGAGGAGAGCCAAGGAGAGCCCAGCAGAGCCAGGGCCACAGCACAGCUCCCAGGCCCCGCCAAGUCCUGGACCUGAUCUUCCUUCCUGGGGACGCCGGUGCCUCCCCCAGGGCCCCAGUAGGCAGUGGUAUUUACACAGUGCACACUGCUUUCUAACUGGGGUAACUGGGGGCCUGGUGGUCCACCAAGGUUAGAGAGCAGAGGUAAGUCUAAGCCAGGACCACUGCCCCGUGGGCUGACCCCACCCCCUCACCACUGCCCUGAGGGUUCCAAGGACCUAGUUCCCAUUCACCGGCUGCCAGCAGGUGCAGGCACCGUGGGGGCACAGUGGAGACCCCACACAGUAAGGGAUUCGCCCCACCUGGGGGGCAGCUUGGCCUCGCCCAGCUCCAGGGAGAUAGCCUCUGAGCCCUUGGAAUGUCCGCCUGAUGAGGGUGUCUUUGUUCCUGGGGCCUGGGCCAUGCCAGGUGGUCCCACAGUGUGAUUUGGGGUGGGGCCCCGGGCAGUUUUCAGUUUGACCUUUGGAGGGCUGGAGACUGAGGUCAACCAUGUGGUGUCAGCCUCGCCUCUGUGACUGACCUCCAGUAGACACCAAGGCCCGCGAGCCUCUCUGGGGACGUGCCUCCAUGCAUGAGGCCACACAUCAUCACCGGGAGGAUGGAGUGCCACCCACACCUCCACAGGGAGGGACUGGCCGGAUGCCCUGGGCUCAGAGCUGUCCUGGAUGCAGCUGCGUCCCUCCCCCUGGCUGGUUUAGUCUGUAGACUGUUGCUUAAUAAACCAUAAGUGAGCAUUGCCACUCCCCAGCGUCUGUGGGUCCUUCUGGCUCGUUAUUGAACGUGAGAGGGGUCUUAGGGACCCCACACCUUGCACUGCUCUUCCUGGGGGAAGGGACAUACUCAUAGUCCACAAGGUCAGGGCAUCCACCUUGAGCUGAUCAGCCGGUCUCCAGGAGGGAAGGAUGCCUGGGCCGAGGGAAAGCAGGGAAGCAGGCGCAGGGGGCAUGAGGAGGGAGGGGCUUGGAGGGCAGCGCCCCAGCCACCCAUUUUGGGGAGGAAACACCGGCUCUGCUCAGCUUGCAGGGAGCUGGGCAGGCUAGAUGGGGUGGGCUCUAAGCCAUGGGUCCCCUAUGAGAAUGCAGCCAAGUGGGUGGCCCCGGGCUGGGGCGUGGAAAAGCG
rnacentral:lncRNA from 1 species